UACAGAGGUCUCAAGCGUUGUUCGGAUUCAUUGGGCGUAAAGGGGUGCGUAGGCGGCGCGGUAAGUCGGGUGUGAAAUCUCGGAGCUUAACUCCGAAACUGCAUUCGAUACUGCCGUGCUUGAGGACUGGAGAGGAGACUGGAAUUUACGGUGUAGCGGUGAAAUGCGUAGAUAUCGUAAGGAAGACCAGUGGCGAAGGCGGGUCUCGUGGACAGUUCCUGACGCUGAGGCACGAAGGCCAGGGGAGCAAACGGGG
rnacentral:rRNA from 1 species